rnacentral:rRNA from 1 species
UGAACGCUGGCGGCGUGCCUAAUACAUGCAAGUCGAGCGAACGGACGAGAAGCUUGCUUCUCUGAUGUUAGCGGCGGACGGGUGAGUAACACGUGGAUAACCUACCUAUAAGACUGGGAUAACUUCGGGAAACCGGAGCUAAUACCGGAUAAUAUUUUGAACCGCAUGGUUCAAAAGUGAAAGACGGUCUUGCUGUCACUUAUAGAUGGAUCCGCGCUGCAUUAGCUAGUUGGUAAGGUAACGGCUUACCAAGGCAACGAUGCAUAGCCGACCUGAGAGGGUGAUCGGCCACACUGGAACUGAGACACGGUCCAGACUCCUACGGGAGGCAGCAGUAGGGAAUCUUCCGCAAUGGGCGAAAGCCUGACGGAGCAACGCCGCGUGAGUGAUGAAGGUCUUCGGAUCGUAAAACUCUGUUAUUAGGGAAGAACAUAUGUGUAAGUAACUGUGCACAUCUUGACGGUACCUAAUCAGAAAGCCACGGCUAACUACGUGCCAGCAGCCGCGGUAAUACGUAGGUGGCAAGCGUUAUCCGGAAUUAUUGGGCGUAAAGCGCGCGUAGGCGGUUUUUUAAGUCUGAUGUGAAAGCCCACGGCUCAACCGUGGAGGGUCAUUGGAAACUGGAAAACUUGAGUGCAGAAGAGGAAAGUGGAAUUCCAUGUGUAGCGGUGAAAUGCGCAGAGAUAUGGAGGAACACCAGUGGCGAAGGCGACUUUCUGGUCUGUAACUGACGCUGAUGUGCGAAAGCGUGGGGAUCAAACAGGAUUAGAUACCCUGGUAGUCCACGCCGUAAACGAUGAGUGCUAAGUGUUAGGGGGUUUCCGCCCCUUAGUGCUGCAGCUAACGCAUUAAGCACUCCGCCUGGGGAGUACGACCGCAAGGUUGAAACUCAAAGGAAUUGACGGGGACCCGCACAAGCGUGGAGCAUGUGGUUUAAUUCGAAGCAACGCGAAGAACCUUACCAAAUCUUGACAUCCUUUGACAACUCUAGAGAUAGAGCCUUCUUCGGGGGACAAAGUGACAGGUGGUGCAUGGUUGUCGUCAGCUCGUGUCGUGAGAUGUUGGGUUAAGUCCCGCAACGAGCGCAACCCUUAAGCUUAGUUGCCAUCAUUAAGUUGGGCACUCUAAGUUGACUGCCGGUGACAAACCGGAGGAAGGUGGGGAUGACGUCAAAUCAUCAUGCCCCUUAUGAUUUGGGCUACACACGUGCUACAAUGGACAAUACAAAGGGCAGCGAAACCGCGAGGUCAAGCAAAUCCCAUAAAGUUGUUCUCAGUUCGGAUUGUAGUCUGCAACUCGACUACAUGAAGCUGGAAUCGCUAGUAAUCGUAGAUCAGCAUGCUACGGUGAAUACGUUCCCGGGUCUUGUACACACCGCCCGUCACACCACGAAGAGUUUGUAACACCCGAAGCCGGUGGAGUAACCUUUUAGGAGCU